rnacentral:siRNA from 1 species
CUGGAUUAUGACUGAACGCCU